rnacentral:tRNA from 1 species
GGGCCGGUAGCUCAGCCUGGUACGAGCGCGCCUUGGCAAGGCGGAGGCCCCGGGUUCAAAUCCCGGCCGGUCCACCA